GUGAGGAAUAUUGGUCAAUGGGCGCGAGCCUGAACCAGCCAAGUCGCGUGAGGGAAGACGGUCCUAUGGAUUGUAAACCUCUUUUGCCGGGGAGCAAGAUAUGGUACGCGUACUGUAUCUGAGAGUACCCGGAGAAAAAGCAUCGGCUAACUCCGUGCCAGCAGCCGCGGUAAUACGGAGGAUGCGAGCGUUAUCCGGAUUUAUUGGGUUUAAAGGGUGCGUAGGCGGAAUGGUAAGUCAGCGGUAAAAUUGAGAGGCUCAACCUCUUCCCGCCGUUGAAACUGCUGUUCUUGAGUGGGCGAGAAGUAUGCGGAAUGCGUGGUGUAGCGGUGAAAUGCAUAGAUAUCACGCAGAACUCCGAUUGCGAAGGCAGCAUACCGGCGCCCGACUGACGCUGAGGCACGAAAGCGUGGGGAUCAAACAGG
rnacentral:rRNA from 1 species